UGGCAAUCUCCAGACCCUGGUCCGCAGCCGCCCAGGGGCGAGGAGGGCAGGGAAUGGGCGAGUCCGGGGACAGAAGGAUGCCAUCCUCCGGUCUGUGUCCCCCGAAAGCGGUAGCAGGGUGAGCCGCAGUGCCUGGAAAGGAUUUCCGAUGGCGAUUUGCACACAAGGUGAUUGCAGGAGGCUAAAACGCUGUCUAAUUCCACGGAUUCCCAUCGUACGAGGAGGAGGG